GACGAACGCUGGCGGCGUGCUUAACACAUGCAAGUCGAACGGUGAAGCGCCUUCCUUUUUGGUGGGUGUGGAUGAGUGGCGAACGGGUGAGUAACACGUGAGUAACCUGCCCCCUUCUUCUGGAUAACCGCAUGAAAGUGUGGCUAAUACGGGAUAUUCUGGGUCUGUCGCAUGAUGGGUCUGGGAAAGAUAUUGUUUCGGUGGGGGAUGGGCUCGCGGCCUAUCAGCUUGUUGGUGGGGUGAUGGCCUACCAAGGCGGUGACGGGUAGCCGGCCUGAGAGGGUGGACGGUCACAAUGGGACUGAGACACGGCCCAGACGCCUACGGGAGGCAGCAGUGGGGAAUAUUGCACAAUGGGCGCAAGCCUGAUGCAGCGACGCCGCGUGAGGGAUGGAGGCCUUCGGGUUGUGAACCUCUUUCGCCAGUGAAGCAGGCCUGCCUCGUUUGUGGGUGGGUUGACGGUAGCUGGAUAAGAAGCGCCGGCUAACUACGUG
rnacentral:rRNA from 1 species